GCUAGUAAUGGCAGGUCAGCAUACUGCCGUGAAUACGUUCCCGGGCCUUGUACACACCGCCCGUCACACCAUGAGAGUUGGGAAUACCCGAAGCCUGUGAGCUAACUUUUAGAGGCAGCAGUCGAAGGUAGAAUCAAUGAUUGGGGUGAAGUCGUAACAAGGUAAC
rnacentral:rRNA from 1 species